UACUAGUUUCGUAAUCGACCAGGUCAGAAUUUUGAUUAUAAAGGGAAUAAAUCGCCAUUUUUACAAUAUUUGUGUUGUUGUGACUGUUAUUAUUAAUUUAAUAGUUAGUAGUUCAUGUUAGGGCGGUGCAAUUAAUCGCAUGCGAUUGUCAUGCUUAAUCUCGUCAGUAAAGCGGUGACGUGAUCAGUAAUUAAAUCUCCAUCAGCUGUUUCAGAUCGAGCGCCAUUCUUUACACAGAUCCGUAGUUCAUUGACAAGCUCGACAUAUCGCGUUCGAAAUCGAAUUAAUUAUAUCGUAUAGCACGUGAAAUGCGUCGGCAGGACAACGUGGCAUUUGCAGUGCAUGGUGAAGACACGUGAUGAAUGUUAUUAAGCGUUUGUAGUAAGGCCGCCUCCGCCUAUUUCUGUCUUUAGAAACGCUCCUCGGAAACCUAUGGAUGACGUCACGAACACUAAGUCCAUUUUUUUAUACGGUCUAUGGUUGUAAGCCAGUGAGAUAACAUAUAACAGAUAACAUCAUUAGAUAACAUAAUUCAGUGGAUAAAGAAUCAAUUAGAUGUCGUCUAAAGAAACAAAGUAAACGCCAGCUGGAGGUGACCAUUUCAUUAUUGUCAGUGCUGGAAAAAGCUUGAAAUGUAGUGAGAAGUCUUUGUGUUUUCUUUUAAUGUGAUUAUUAUUUUUUUUUAACAGUUUUGUGUUGCAGAAGACUUGCAGAAACGAGAUUUGAGAUGCCUCGGACGAAGCAGUCUCAGCGUUCUCAGGCAGCCAAGAAGAGAAUCGUGAACCGGCUAGCUGCUAAUCCUGAAGAGAUCUUGUCACCUGUUAAAAAAAGAAAAGAAAUACAAGAGCCUGAUCCUACUUUUGCCAAUUGUUCCGAAUUUGCCAAUUGUUCCGAAUUUUCCGAUUGUUCCGAAUUUGCCGAUUGUUCCGAAUUUGCCAAAUAUUCCGAAUCUUACCCAAACUCUGACCCAAAGUCUGAUUCAGACGCUAAUUCAAAGUCUAUGCCAAAGUUUCCAAAAGAUGCUGAGAUGACUAUGCAUGCUGUUUCUUCUUUGUCUCCACAGACUUCCUAUAUCAGAGGCUCUUUCCAUCAAGGAGAUUACCGUU
ensembl:lncRNA